rnacentral:misc_RNA from 1 species
GCAAGAAGAUAGAAUUUUGCGCCAUUUCUGUUAUUUUUUCAUGUUCUGAAAAGAACGUAAAAUGUAAUGAGAAGUCAUGGAGCAGCUGUUGGGCGUCGAAAUUUAGUUUUCGUUCUGUCCGUGGUUUUUAUUUUAUUCCUGAUUUUUUUUCAGUUGAGUAAAUGAUUUCUCGCGGUCGCCUGAAGAGUAGUGUGCUGGAGUUUUAUAUUUUCUAUGUGUAUAUUCAUGGUAAUGGAGGCCUUUGAGAACAAUGUUUAUUUUCAUUCUUGUUACCAAGGAAAAAUUAAACAUCAGUUCUUUGGUUUGCAUUAUUAUUUACGCAUAUAAUCACACUCUAUGUCGCCUAGUAAAAAAGAAAUUAUUUUUUUUUUGAACCUGUGACUUUGAGUUUGUUUGAUUUCUGUAAAUAUGCAUAAAAUGGGCAGCCUUAUCAACACUGUAACCUUGGAUCUCAAAUCAGA